UUGACCUCGGAUCAGGUAGGGAUACCCGCUGAACUUAAGCAUAUCAAUAAGCGGAGGAAAAGAAACCAACAGGGAUUGCCCUAGUAACGGCGAGUGAAGCGGCAACAGCUCAAAUUUGAAAUCUGGCGUCUUUGGCGUCCGAGUUGUAAUUUGCAGAGGGCGCUUUGGCAUUGGCAGCGGUCCAAGUUCCUUGGAACAGGACGUCACAGAGGGUGAGAAUCCCGUACGUGGUCGCUAGCCUUUACCGUGUAAAGCCCCUUCGACGAGUCGAGUUGUUUGGGAAUGCAGCUCUAAAUGGGAGGUAAAUUUCUUCUAAAGCUAAAUACUGGCCAGAGACCGAUAGCGCACAAGUAGAGUGAUCGAAAGAUGAAAAGCACUUUGGAAAGAGAGUUAAAAAGCACGUGAAAUUGUUGAAAGGGAAGCGCUUGCAGCCAGACUUGCCUGUAGUUGCUCAUCCGGGUUUCUACCCGGUGCACUCUUCUAUAGGCAGGCCAGCAUCAGUUUGGGCGGUUGGAUAAAGGUCUCUGUCAUGUACCUCUCUUCGGGGAGAACUUAUAGGGGAGACGACAUGCAACCAGCCUGGACUNAGG
rnacentral:rRNA from 1 species